UAAAACAGGACACCCUCUUGCAUGGAUUUGU
rnacentral:piRNA from 1 species